GGCACAUAGUAAGAGCUUAACAAAUGCCAUCAUUAUUAUUAUUAUUAUUUCCAGAGAGACUCCGCUUCUCCCACUUGCCAAUUUCUAGAUCUGAAGUCCAGAGGGUCAGUGGAAAUGCUGAAGGGGCCUCGUGAGCUGGACCGGCAGCUGACCAGUGACUCACUUGAAACCCUCAAACCAAGAUCUCGGAAGUGCAAUGCGACGACGAUGAUGUACCAACAUCUGGUGCUUGCCCGAUUCACAAGACAGCUAUCAAAGAGGAGGUUGAAAUGAAAAGCCAGUGAAGAACAGAAUUUUGAAAAAUUACCCAGAUAUUCUAUCAUAUUUUUCUCAAGAAGAUUAGGGACCUGCAACAAUGGAAAACGUAAAAGAAAAACAAGAAACUCUGUGUCAGUUUUUGACUGGAUUGGAUAUUUUAAUUGUUAAUUUAAUAUAAUUAAUUUAAUAUUUAAUUUUAUUGGCUGUAUGUGAUAGUUUGACUCAAGGUUCUCUUCAGACUAUGCUGUCUUUAUUAUACAAUAGAUGAUGGUGGUUCAAAAUAUGCAAACUUUCCAUUUCACAUGCAACACUAAUGAAAAUAUUUUCUCUUUGAAUUUACUUGAAAAUAUAGCCCUCUUGUGGACACAGAAAGCUCAG
rnacentral:lncRNA from 1 species